AGUGAAAUUGAAAUCGCUGUGAAGAUGCAGUGUACCCGCGGCUAGACGGAAAGACCCCGUGAACCUUUACUACAGCUUGGCACUGAACAUUGACCCUACAUGUGUAGGAUAGGUGGGAGCCUUUGAAACAAGUACGCCAGUAUUUGUGGAGGCAAUCUUGAAAUACCACCCUUGUAUGCUUGAUGUUCUAACGUAGGUCCCUAAUCGGGAUUGCGGACAGUGCCUGGUGGGUAGUUUGACUGGGGCGGUCUCCUCCCAAAGAGUAACGGAGGAGCACGAAGGUGGGCUAAACACGGUUGGACAUCGUGUGGUUAGUGCAAUG
rnacentral:rRNA from 1 species